ACAGUGGAGAAGAAGAAGGUGCAGGAGGAGGGAGGAGAAGCUGCCAUGGGUGAGGAGUCAAGAAAAAAUGGCCCUGAGGGCUGGCUGAUUGGCGUUAAGAGCAGCCCAGAUAAAACAUAUGCUUUAGAUCCUUUUGGACUUAAUUUGUAUGACAGAAGCCUCUGUUUCUGCGAUUCCAAUUUGGCUGGAACACAGCAAAAGAAUAGACUCAGUGACCUGAUGAAGUUCAUCUGGAAGUCUGGAUGGGCAGAGCCUGAACUUCUGAGGGUUGCUGUCAGGCGCACCAGUGGAUCCUGAGGCCAGAGGACACUGCUGGGUUUAUUGGGACUGAGUCAUUAAGAAAGCUUCCGUGGUAAUAAGUCAUGUUAGCAGCUACCAUGUGUGUGAUGUCAGAUUCCAAGCCUUGACAUGAGUUUUCCUACAACAGAUGCCUGGAGCCUGGCAGGACUGCAUAGUUGUUGUUGUUGUUUUGUUAUUGGUAUUUAUAUAUGUGUGUACAUAUUCUUGGCAAGGAUGUGGAGGUCAGAAGUCAACAUUAGGUAACUCCCUUUUUUUUUUUUUUUGCAUUUUUUAAAAUUAGGUAUUUUCCUCAUUUACAUUUUCAAUGCUAGGUAACUCCCUUAAUAAUCACCCUCUACCUUGUUAGUUAAUUGUUUAAUUUUUUUUUUUGAGAUAGGGUCUCCCAAUGAAUCUGGAGGUCAGCAGGUUAGCAAGACUGUCUGGGAAGAAGCCCUAGUGACCCUACUGUCUCCUCCUCCUCCUCCUCCCCCUGUUCUGGAGUCACAGGUUCACACCAUUGUGCUUGGCUUUUAUGUGGGUGCUGGGUAUCCAAACCUAGGUUUGGGGUAACCGAUUGAGCUGCCUCUCCUGACCUUAAAGUGAAUAGAUACCUGUCUCACACCGUCAUCAUAUCCAUCACGUUAACAUAAUUACUCCAAGUUACAGAUGGCAUUUACAUGGGUAAGCACACGGUUCUCCUGCUCUCUGGCUUCAGAUCUGAGUUUCUACAAUGAGGAGCCACUUUUUGUCUCUCUAGGCCACAGCAUCCUUAUUCUAUAAAGGGCAUACUGUGUCUAUCGAAGAGCUAUGAUAAAAGCACGAGGCAGUGUCACGGGUCAGCCAUCUAUGCUAGCAUCCGGCACAUGGUCAUAGGUGCUUAGAGGACAUUCGUUAGUGGUGUCAUCCAAGAUGUUACAGGAAGUCAGGGACUCCAGAACUCAGAUCUGCUCCAAAGCCUGCAUUUUGAUUUCAUAUACUCUUUACAAAGCACAUGAAACUUUCUUUGACAGACGUCACAUUCUCCUUUCAUGUGUUGGCAUCUGUGUAACAUGUGGUCCAUAUAGGACUGCCUUUGGCCCUGGUUACAGUACAAGUAGUGGGGGAAGAGGUGGCUUGGCUUCUCCAUGGUUCGGAUCCAGUCUUUUUUCUAGAUUUCCUUUGCAGUUAUGAAGUUUGAUGGAGAAAGACCACAUAACAGAAACGGAAAGACUUCUGCUAAGCACCGGGGGCCACCAGCAUCCCCAAUGUCUGCUCUCUGCCAUCUCCCUUCCUUCCUACUUGUGUUACCUUACUAGGUCAUUGUGUUCCCAGAGCCUCACUUUCUCCAUCUGCAAAAUGGGGAUGAUAAUGAUGCAUACCUUUAAGAAACAGGGAGGGGAGGGCAGGGGGAAUAAUUAUGCAAAUUAUGUGGUGGCAUCUGCCACGUAGGGCAUCCCAUUCCUUUCUCUACGUGAGUCAUUUCAAAUCGAUAAAUCCCACCCAUCCUUCAGUGCCCAGCUCAAAUAACCUCUUAUCACAAACCCCUCUCAGACAUCAAGACAAGAAGUGUGACACCUCCAAGACAGUGUGUGUGCUCCCACUAUGGCUGGCUGAGAGUGACACUCUGAACAGUCACCAACUGCAUGAGUGUUAAGCACACUCCAUGAGAAGGCAGACUCGACACCGAAAGGGAUUAGCUAUUGUAUUGUAGUGUCAGGGGGAGUGUAGAGAAAGUGUCAGGGGAGAGAUAAUUGGCUGACGGGGGAAUGGGAUGAGGCGGCAAAAUAACCUAUUUGCCAAUCCGUGUGCAAUCAUUUGACUGUUUUAACAAGCACAGGAAGGAAUGUCGCCCACAGCCACGAUCCUGCUCUAAUUAAACCCACUGCUGGGUCCUUGAAAUGCUCAGUGACCAAGCAAGAGAGCCUCUGGUCACCUUUAACCAACUAGGACCCAGUUCAGAGUCAAGGCCUUCAUUUGCACAGGCAUAUAUGAAAAGAAUUUCCUUCAAUGCUCCUGCUCUUGGCUGUUUUCAAAAGAACAAUGGGAGCAGGGCAGAGGAGGCUCUCAGAGCUUAUAGAACUUCCAUUUUCCUUCUCAUUGGCUAAGUCCUGCUCAUAGUUUUCUGAGUUUACCUUCUCUAUCUGCUCCAAUUCUAGUGCCUUUUCCUGUCAGCCAACCUUCUCCCUCAUCUCGGUGUCUGUCCUUUGUCACACUUGACUCUUUCCUAUUGUCACCUCCCCUCAUCUCUGUUCUCUCUUAGCAAGCACAGGCUUUCCUUCCUGUUCAUCAGAUGUCCAGAGCAAAAAUGGUGCCCAACCCUUUAUAGAUAGAUGCUCGGUAGACAUGGAUAGACUUGACAAAAUGGUUGGUAGGUGGUUCAUGCAAAUGGCCCUGCUGUUCUAUCUAAUGGAGAAAGAUCAUGGGACUGGAAUCUUCUCUCAUUUUUGUCUUUGUAUUGGAAAAGACAAAAGAGCCAACCAAGCACAGAGGGAACAUGGAGUCAGGUCUUGGAGUGUAUUUAAUACUUCCGGGAGUCAGAGAACCUCAAAUGGGGUGAUUGCAGCCAUGUUGGAGCUAACUAGUAUUUAUGAUGCAAAGGUAAUCCUGUAGGAAGCAGGAUCAUGACUCUUGUUCCAGUUUACCCAUUGGCUUACCCAAGCAGGAAAGUACACUUUUGUUAUUACUAUGACUUCUGAUAAUGACUCUACCUCUCUUGGUGGCAUCACCAAAAAGCAUUGUAUAGCAUUUGCCUCUCACCAAUUGCAUUCUAAAAUGUUUACUCACAGCUAAUCAUGGUGACCCCAUUACAAGCUUUAAACUAGCUCUUACUAGUUGUCUUGUGUUUCAGGAUUUGAGGAAACAGAGACAAAGAGAGGUAAUGUGACAAAGUUCCAUGGCAGGAAUCUAGAAUGUUAUUCAAGUUUUGUUCCUGGACCAAGCACUGGGCUAAAUGAUUGUCUUCUUUAUAUAUAUGUAUAUAUGUAUGCGUGCAUGCAUUUGUGUGUGUGUUUGUGUGGUUGCACAAUCAUAAUGCCCUGUUUUGUUUUGUUUUUUUAACAACCCCACCUUGCCAAAGCCAUCAAUACUCUCUUAUACUUCUCC
ensembl:antisense Srrm4os serine/arginine repetitive matrix 4, opposite strand